GGAAGAUUAUAAAAUAACAAGCUUAGCUUAAGAUAAUCAUGCUUGCUAAAACCUUAACCUAAUGCUUACCUAAUGAUUAAAACACAUAUAAGCCUUAACUAUGAUUAAAACACAUAUUACACAAAUAGAUCUAUGAAAGCUACAAAUCUAUACUCUACUAAUCAUUAAAUUACUGAAUCAAGAAUUAGCCACUAAUUUACACGUAUACAUUUUAUAUUUUUAUAUUUGAUUAAUUGAAUCACUAAAUGCCUCUCAUAUUAAACAAGCAAUGACUUGUGUGUGUGUCUCUGACAUUUGAAUGGCUCAACCGAGAAAGCACGCUUCCUCGUCUUACUGGUAAACAUCUUGAGGUUACAGAGGCUAGCAGACUAAAAGAGUUCCUCUUUUACUCCUGGGCUCUAGAGGAGUUCCUCUUUUCCGCCUACGUUCUAGGAAAGGUCAGCAACAGGAGAGACGAUUAACACACCAGUAAAAAACAUACAUUUUCUAGCCUUACAGUUAAAGAUUGCGUCUAACAAAAUUAUACAUGCAGCUUCAAGCUAUGUUAAAAUAUACUAACUAAUUAAUCUUACUGUAGAAUGUAGCAAAAUUAUUAUCAAUAAAACAGAGUAUGAACUAAAGAGGAACUGUGCCUUGCUGACCUUAAGACAUGCCUUGUCACCUUGGCAAGGGAAGUAACGGACACCUACGUUUUCUCAGAAGUAAAGGUUAAGACAACUUUCAAGUUCCUCAGAAGUCUGGAAAAAUGAAGUAAACAAUAUGAUAUACCAUAUUUGGAAGGAUAGCAUAAAAAUUAGAAGCCACCUAGCAACAAGGUACGUCACAGAAGGGUAUACGUCACCCAAGGGUAUAAGGAUGGAGUCAGAAAGGCCGAGGUUCAGAAGAACUGGGGUAACGUCUUAGAAUGCAUGCCUGUAAUUGUUCUUCUCCAGAAUUCUGAAAUAAAAUCAUACUUGUUCAUUCUCAA